rnacentral:rRNA from 1 species
UGGGGAAUUUUGGACAAUGGGGGCAACCCUGAUCCAGCAAUGCCGCGUGUGUGAAGAAGGCCUUCGGGUUGUAAAGCACUUUUGUCCGGAAAGAAAACGUCGUGGUUAAUACCCGUGGCGGAUGACGGUACCGGAAGAAUAAGCACCGGCUAACUACGUGCCAGCAGCCGCGGUAAUACGUAGGGUGCAAGCGUUAAUCGGAAUUACUGGGCGUAAAGCGUGCGCAGGCGGUCCGCUAAGACAGAUGUGAAAUCCCCGGGCUUAACCUGGGAACUGCAUUUGUGACUGGCGGGCUAGAGUAUGGCAGAGGGGGGUAGAAUUCCACGUGUAGCAGUGAAAUGCGUAGAGAUGUGGAGGAAUACCGAUGGCGAAGGCAGCCCCCUGGGCCAAUACUGACGCUCAUGCACGAAAGCGUGGGGAGCAAACAGGAUUAGAUACCCUGGUAGUCCACGCCCUAAACGAUGUCAACUAGUUGUCGGGUCUUCAUUGACUUGGUAACGUAGCNAACGCGUGAAGUUGACCGCCUGGGGAGUACGGUCGCAAGAUUAAAACU